rnacentral:rRNA from 1 species
AAUAGAUACCCGGGUAGUCCACGCCGUAAACGGUGGGCGCUAGGUGUGGGGGACUUUCCACGUCCUCUGUGCCGCAGCUAACGCAUUAAGCGCCCCGCCUGGGGAGUACGGCCGCAAGGCUAAAACUCAAAGGAAUUGACGGGGGCCCGCACAAGCGGCGGAGCAUGUGGCUUAAUUCGACGCAACGCGAAGAACCUUACCAAGGCUUGACAUGCAGAGAAAUCUCGUAGAGAUAUGGGGUCCGCAAGGGCUUUGCACAGGUGGUGCAUGGUUGUCGUCAGCUCGUGUCGUGAGAUGUUGGGUUAAGUCCCGCAACGAGCGCAACCCUUGUCCUAUGUUGCCAGCGAGUAAUGUCGGGGACUCAGUAGGAGACUGCCGGGGUCAACUCGGAGGAAGGUGGGGAUGACGUCAAAUCAUCAUGCCCCUUAUGUCUUGGGCUGCACACAUGCUACAAUGGUCGGUACAAAGGGCUGCGAGACCGCAAGGUGAGCGAAUCCCAAAAGCCGGCUCAGUUCCGGAUUAGGGU